rnacentral:ribozyme from 1 species
GGUGAUGGACAGGACGUAAGUCCUGUUAAACCGCAGUCCAGUCCAAAGCCUGG